rnacentral:rRNA from 1 species
UACGUAGGGGGCAAGCGUUGUCCGGAAUCAUUGGGCGUAAAGAGCGUGUAGGCGGCCCGGUAAGUCCGUUGUGAAAGUCCAGGGCUCAACCCUGGAAUGCCGAUGGAUACUGCCGGGCUAGAGUUCGGAAGAGGCGAGUGGAAUUCCUGGUGUAGCGGUGGAAUGCGUAGAUAUCUGGAGGAAUACCGGUGGCGAAGGCGGCAUCCUGGACCGACAUUGACGCUGAGGAGCGAAAGCCAGGGGAGCAAACGGG